UAGGGAAUAUUGGUAAUCUGGGAAACCGGGAACCAGCAACGCCGCGUGCACGAUGAAGGCCUUCGGGUCGUAAAGUGCUUUUUGAAGGGAUGAGGAAGGACAGUACCUUCAGAAUAAGCCUCGGCUAACUACGUGCCAGCAGCCGCGGUAAAACGUAGGAGGCGAGCGUUAUCCGGAUUUACUGGGCGUAAAGCGUGUGUAGGCGGUUUGAUAAGUUGGAUGUGAAAGCUCCCGGCUCAACUGGGAGAGGUCGUUCAAAACUAUCAGACUAGAGAGUGGUAGAGGGAGGUGGAAUUCCGCGUGUAGUGGUGAAAUGCGCAGAUAUGCGGAGGAACACCAGUGGCGAAAGCGGCCUCCUGGCCCAUUUCAGACGCUCGGACACGAAAGCUAAGGUAGCAAACGG
rnacentral:rRNA from 1 species